rnacentral:rRNA from 1 species
UACGUAGGGGGCAAGCGUUGUCCGGAAUCAUUGGGCGUAAAGCGCGUGUAGGCGGCCCGGUAAGUCCGCUGUGAAAGUCGGGGGCUCAACCCUCGAAUGCCGGUGGAUACUGCCGGGCUAGAGUGCUGGAGAGGCGAGUGGAAUUCCUGGUGUAGCGGUGAAAUGCGCAGAUAUCAGGAGGAACACCAAUUGCGAAGGCAGCUCGCUGGAACGUAACUGACGCUGAGACGCGAAAGCGUGGGGAGCAAACAGG